GACGAACGCUGACGGCGUGCUUAACACAUGCAAGUCGAACGGAAAGGCCCUGCUUGCAGGGUACUCGAGUGGCGAACGGGUGAGUAACACGUGGGUGAUCUGCCCUGCACUUCGGGAUAAGCCUGGGAAACUGGGUCUAAUACCGGAUAGGAGCCAUUUUUAGUGUGAUGGUUGGAAAGUUUUUUCGGUGUAGGAUGAGCUCGCGGCCUAUCAGCUUGUUGGUGGGGUAAUGGCCUACCAAGGCGGCGACGGGUAGCCGGCCUGAGAGGGUGGACGGCCACAUUGGGACUGAGAUACGGCCCAGACUCCUACGGGAGGCAGCAGUGGGGAAUAUUGCACAAGGGGCGCAAGCCUGAUGCAGCGACGCCGCGUGGGGGAUGACGGCCUUCGGGUUGUAAACUCCUUUCGCUAGGGACGAAGCUUUUUGUGACGGUACCUAGAUAAGAAGCACCGGCUAACUACGUGCCAGCAGCAGCCGCAG
rnacentral:rRNA from 1 species